rnacentral:misc_RNA from 1 species
UGACAUAACAUAAGAAUCAUUUUUGGACAAAGCAAAGCAUGGGACAGCCUCUUCAGGGUUAGUGUCAGUAAUGUCAUUGGUCAUCAGAAUGCCACUUGAUGGUUGCCAUAAUUGAGGGGACACAUUGGCAGUUGCCUUGCCAGUUGAAUUACGGUCACUUCGUUGCCACUUCCAUAGAAGAUGAAUUGCAUUUGAUGCUAAUGCCAA